rnacentral:rRNA from 1 species
AGUGAACGCUGGCGGUAGGCCUAACACAUGCAAGUCGAACGGCAGCACAGUAAGAUCUUUCUCUGACGUGGGGCGAGUGGCGGACGGGUGGUGAAUACAUCGUAAUCUACUUUUUCGUUGUGGAUAACGUAGUGAAACUUACGCUAAUACGGCAUACUACCUACGUGUGAAAUCAUGGGAUCGUCGGACCUUUCGCUACUGAAUGAGCCGAUGUCGGAUUAGCUAGUUGGCGGGGUGAAGUCCCACCAAAGCGACGAUCCGUAGCUGGUCUGAGAGGAUGAUGAGCCACCAUGGAAGUGAGAAAAGGUCCAGACUACUACGGGAGGCAGCAGUGGGGAAUAUUGGAGCAUGGGCGCAAGCAUGAUGCAGCCAUACCGCGUGGGUGAAGAAGGACUUCGGGUUGUAAAGAACUUCUGUUGGGAGAGAAAAGCAGCAGGUUCAUAUGUCGCUGUUCUGACGGUAGCUAAAGAAUAAGCACCGGCUAACUUCGUG